rnacentral:rRNA from 1 species
GCCAGCACCCGCAAUUCCAGCUCCAAUAGCGUAUAUUAAAGUUGCUGCAGUUAAAAAGCUCGUAGUUGGAUUUGUGGGAUGGCCGUCCGGCGGGGGGCCUUUCAUGGUCCCGUUUGUCCUGGUUUUCGGCCUUCCCUUUCUCGGGUCUAGCGUAUUGGCUGGCAUUAGGUUGUCGGCCGCUUCGCGCCCGUCGUUUACUGUGAAAAAAUUAGAGUGUUCAAAGCAGGCUUAGGCCGUUGGAUACAUUAGCAUGGAAUAAUGAGAUAGGGCCACCGCGGUCUAUUUUGUUGGUUUGCACGUUGUGGUAAUGAUUAACAGGAACGGUUGGGGGUAUUCGUAUUCAAUUGUCAGAGGUGAAAUUCUUGGAUUUGUGGAAGACGAACUACUGCGAAAGCAUUUA